rnacentral:rRNA from 1 species
GACGUAGGGGGCCAGCGUUGCUCGGAAUUACUGGGCGUAAAGGGUUCGUAGGCGGGGCGGUAAGUCGGAAGUGAAAUCUCCAGGCUCAACUUGGAGGCUGCUCCCGAAACUGCCGUGCUAGAGUACGGGAGAGGCGAGUGGAAUUGCAGGUGUAGCGGUGAAAUGCGUAGAUAUCUGCAGGAACACCCGUGGCGAAGGCGGCUCGCUGGACCGUAACUGACGCUGAGGAACGAAAGCUAGGGGAGCAAACAGG